CCUUGCCAGCCCGCUCAAGAACUCAAAGGAAUUGACGGGGCCCGCACAAGCGGAGGAGCAUGUGGUUUAAUUCGAUGAUACGCGAGGAACCUUACCUGGGCUCGAACGUAAGAUGACUGUAGGUGAAAGCUUACAUCUCUUCGGAGCAUUUUACGAGGUGCUGCAUGGUUGUCGUCAGCUCGUGCCGUGAGGUGUCGGGUUAAGUCCCAUAACGAGCGCAACCCCUACCUUUAGUUGCCAUCAGGUAAUGCUGGGGACUCUAAAGGAACUGCCUACGCAAGUAGUGAGGAAGGCGGGGAUGACGUCAAAUCAGCACGGCCCUUACGUCCAGGGCUACACACGUGCUACAAUGGCCGAUACAGAGGGCAGCUACCUGGUGACAGGAUGCAAAUCUCCAAAGUCGGUCUCAGUUCGGAUCGGAGUCUGCAACCCGACUCCGUGAAGUUGGAUUCGCUAGUAAUCGCGCAUCAGCCAUGGCGCGGUGAAUACGUUCCCGGGCCUU
rnacentral:rRNA from 1 species